AUAGUCUCAUCGAAACCAGUACUCUGCUUCCGACGCACGAUACCUCUAUGGCACGCAGGGAGCGAGUCCGGACGCCUCACCCCCGUCGAGGCGGCCGGAGCAGUUCAAGCGGACAUCCAUGCGGCUUUCAGCCGGCCCCGAGUGGAUGUCCGCCGAUUUUUUU
rnacentral:ncRNA from 1 species